GAAGAGGUGCAAAGCGGUAAUGCACCGGACUUGAAAUCCGGCUGAGCGACUAAUAGUCGUGCGCGGGUUCAAAUCCCGUCUUCUCCU
rnacentral:tRNA from 1 species